rnacentral:rRNA from 1 species
GAUGAAUGCUGGCGGCGUGCCUAACACAUGCAAGUCGAGCGGCAGCGCGAGUAGUUUACUACUUGGCGGCGAGCGGCGGACGGCUGAGUAACGCGUGGGAACGUGCCCCAAAGUGAGGAAUAACUGCCCGAAAGGGUGGCUAAUGCCGCAUAUGAUCUUCGGAUUAAAGUCUUCGGACGCUUUGGGAGCGGCCCGCGUCGGAUUAGGUUGUUGGUGAGGUAAUGGCUCACCAAGCCGACGAUCCGUAGCUGGUCUGAGAGGAUGAUCAGCCAGACUGGGACUGAGACACGGCCCAGACUCCUACGGGAGGCAGCAGUGAGGAAUCUUCCACAAUGGGCGAAAGCCUGAUGGAGCAACGCCGCGUGCAGGAUGAAGGCCUUCGGGUUGUAAACUGCUUUUAUAAGUGAAGGAUAUGACGGUAACUUAUGAAUAAGCACCGGCUAACUACGUGCCAGCCGCCGCUGUAA